rnacentral:rRNA from 1 species
CCUACGGGUGGCAGCAGUAGGGAAUCUUUCACAAUGGGCGAAAGCCUGAUGGAGCAACGCCGCGUGCAUGAUGAAGGCCUUCGGGUUGUAAACUGCUUUUAUAAGCGAGAAAUAUGAUGGUAACUUAUGCAUACGGAUCGGCUAACAACGAGCCAGCAGCCGCGGUAAUACGGAGGAGCGAAGCGUUAGCCGGAUUUAUUGGGUUUAACGGGAGCGGAGAUGGGUUGUGAAGUCAGUUGUGAACGCUUGCGGAUAAACCGUAAAAUUGCAAUUGACACUGGCAGUCUUGAGUACAGUUGAGGGAGGCGGAAUUCGUGGUGUAGCGGUGAAAUGCUUAGAUAUCACGAAGAACUCCGAUUGCGAAGGCAGCUUACUAAACUGCCACUGACAUUGAUGCGCGAAAGUGUGGGUAUCAAACAGGAUUAGAUACCCGAGUAGUC